CCUAACCUAACACCUUCUUUUGUUCUCAGUUAACAAAGAUGGCUUUUUCUUCCUCUGUUCGUUUGUUUGCAACUGCCUCACUCUUGUUGAUGCUCCUCAUGGCCUCUGAGAGGGGAAUAAUGGCUGCGAGUCUCAGAAAAUACUCGAUGCUUCCCAUAAAAGACGCGGUCGGGUACAACGAGCAUUGUCCCGGGGAAAACCCAUAUGACACACACUGCGCUAUCUUUUGCAAUGUGCGAAACUUAUUGGCCCUUCUUCAGCAAUGUCUGCACCUGCAUGAGGAUAUGAAGGCUCGGCCGCUUUGCUAAAUACCUUAUAUAUAUAAUAAUAAUAAUAUUGCUUCCUUCAACUUCAGUGUUUGUUUUAAUAAAUAAUAAUAAUGUGAUCCAUAUAUAGCUAAAUAAAUAAAGGUCUGAAAUAAUAAUAUAAUCCGAUCCAAACAUGGAGGAGUUUGUCUGCUUCGGUAGCUAGCAAUGAAGCUCCUCUGAUGUUGCUUGGAUUUGGUUCGUUGUUACUAAUUACAUCUGUAUGUAUUAACAUGUUGUAUGUUUCGGUUUCUUAACCUACUGCCCACUGCCACAGUUGAUUUUUCCA